AUCCACAGCCCGCCAACAGCUGCCCUGCUUUACCCCUAGGGCCUGGGGUAUGGUACCCCGGAAGGAGAGACCCGGGGAACGGGUCCAUGUAGGCCCUGAAGGUGGGAACAGGCAGUUUGGGCAGGAAAUUCGGGCUCCCAAUGACCCGGAACGUAGUCCAGACAAAGAGUCGUGGGCUCCAGGUGGACACAUCCUCACCCCAGCGGACACGGGGCUAGAUCGGGGACCCGUGAAGCCUGGGGCCAAGGCAGGACCCCUCUUGCUUGGGUCUAAGGCAUGCUGUGAACAGCUGCUACUGAGCUGUGCUUGUGCCGGCCCUGUUUUCCCUGCUCUCUGUGCAUUGUUACUUCCGAAUCACACGGCGCAAGGUUCUCGGUCAACUGCCGGGUGGUGACGGCCCAGCCAAGAUGCCACUCCGGCAGCCUGAGUCCAGAAUCCACGUGGGCUCUUCACUGCAGUGCUUCGCUGCUCCUCACGGAAGGAUGGGAAGCUCUGGGCGGGAUUAUCUCGAGACCCAUUUCCUCCCAGUGAUACGGGGCAGCUGUGUGAGCAGAGCUGCUCCUGUCUGGCCAGCUCUGCAGUGAGGAGGCGUCCAGAGACCUCCAUGGCGCUGGGUCUACCCCCUGACCGUGACCUCACACCCGUUCACUCUCAGACCACUUUCCCGGUUCUUCUACCAACACCGCGAGCCUCCUGCCCCCGCCCACGCUGUCAGUGGUUUGAGCGGACGCUGACACCCCCGACCUGCCCUGGCCCCAUCCGGAUGCCUCGUGCCCCCAGCCCCAGUGGGGAUCCCAGGGUCCUCCCCGGGACGUGCUGAGCUGCUGCUGAGAGGACCAAGCCCUUCCUUCCUGGGUGUGAGGCUGCGGACUUGGGUCGGAACACGGCCGCCGCGGGGUCUCCCGUGGACGGGGUCUGGGACACGGGCUGCUGACACUCGGAGAGAGGCCAGGAGAGCUUCGACCUCUGCCCAGGCUCUGCUUCCUGGCACCCCCGUCCUUCCCGCAGUUUGGCUUCAAGAUCGGAGACCUUAGGUUACAAGCAGCGCAUAAUUCUCAAAGGCAGUUUCCAAAAGUCUCGGAGUCUGACAGAUUGCUGCAACAAAAAAUAAAAACCGGGAGCAAACCCAGGACCUCUUUGGACUAUUUUUGCAGCUUGCUGAGAGCCUGGAAUCAUUUCCAAGUGAAGAUUUUUGAAAUGGG